rnacentral:rRNA from 1 species
UACGGAGGGUGCAAGCGUUAAUCGGAAUUACUGGGCGUAAAGCGCGCGUAGGCGGUUAGAUAAGUCGAUUGUGAAAUCCCCGGGCUCAACCUGGGAAUUGCAGUCGAGACUGUCUGACUAGAGUGUAGGAGAGGGUGGUGGAAUUCCCGGUGUAGCGGUGAAAAUGCGUAGAUAUCGGGAGGAACAUCAGUGGCGAAGGCGACCACCUGGCCCAAUACUGACGCUGAGGCGCGAAAAGCUAGGGGAGCAAACGGG